AGGCUCACAGCAUUACAGAAUGAAAAUUUCAAAAGAUCAGACAAAAUUUUAAAGUGAACACAAUACCCACCAUCUUUAAACUUGAAACUAAACUAGUGCAUUAAUCUAUGACCUCUUCCUUCUUUUGUUGCUUGAUAAACUGCCAUUGUUGAAUCCCCUAAUAUCAUUUGUUGUCUCCGCUGUGUUCUGCUUUUUCAUACUUUUUCUCCCGCCAAAUCCAAACUUGGAAUCUCUAAAAUCUCUCUUCUUCUUGGGAUUUUUCCCUUUUCCUCCUCCAUGUCUCGCCUUCCCUCCAGAGCGAUCACCAGGAGACACCCCUGGCCUCUUCUUACCUCCAGAUCUCUCAAAUGUCUUUCCAUCUUCAAAGGAAAAGUCCAUAUCACCACCUUUAUCACCUCCAGCAAAACCAUUCUUUUGCCUCUGCUUCCUCCAUUUCUUAACAGAUUCAAUCUCCUCUUUCUUCUGCUUAGCCCUCUCCUUCUGCUUCUGAGCUUGAAUCUCUUUAGCCAAUUUCUUUGCUUCUCUUGCCUUCCUUCUUUCCUCAGCCUCCUCCAUCUUUCUCUGUUCAGACAGCAGCCGACCUUUUACUUUUUCCAUGUGAGUAUCUGUCUUCACCAUCUCUGCGUAAUAAUCUGAAGGCCUGAGAAAAGGGAGUCCUAAAGAUUGGAACUUCUCAAGGGCCAUUCUUGUACCCUGCAAAGCCUGUGUAUAGAAUGCAAGCUCUCUAGCUAGAUCAUCAUUCACAUCCACCUCUUUUUCUUGAUCAAUAUCAAGAGAUAGCUUGUGUAUCCACUCCACAUUUUCAGGCCAGCUAAUAUCUCCAAGUUUAUCGAGGAGACCAUCAGCAUUAUAUAUCGCAUUCU
rnacentral:misc_RNA from 1 species